rnacentral:rRNA from 1 species
AUUGAACGCUGGCGGCAGGCUUAACACAUGCAAGUCGAGCGGGGUGAUGGUGCUUGCACUAUCACUUAGCGGCGGACGGGUGAGUAGUGCUUAGGAAUCUGCCUAUUAGUGGGGGACAACAUCUCGAAAGGGAUGCUAAUACCGCAUACGUCCUACGGGAGAAAGCAGGGGAUCACUUGUGACCUUGCGCUAAUAGAUGAGCCUAAGUCGGAUUAGCUAGUUGGUGGGGUAAAGGCCUACCAAGGCGACGAUCUGUAGCGGGUCUGAGAGGAUGAUCCGCCACACUGGGACUGAGACACGGCCCAGACUCCUACGGGAGGCAGCAGUGGGGAAUAUUGGACAAUGGGGGGAACCCUGAUCCAGCCAUGCCGCGUGUGUGAAGAAGGCCUUAUGGUUGUAAAGCACUUUAAGCGAGGAGGAGGCUCUUUUGGUUAAUACCCAAGAUGAGUGGACGUCGCUCGCAGAAUAAGCACCGGCUAACUCUGUGCCAGCCGCCGCCGUAA